rnacentral:rRNA from 1 species
AUACGAAAGGUGCAAGCGUUGUUCGGAUUUACUGGGCGUAAAGAGAGUGUAGGUUGUUUAUUAAGUCGGAUGUGAAAUCCCGGGGCUCAACCUCGGAACUGCAUUCGAUACUGGUAGACUAGAGUUCGGGAGGGGUAAGCGGAAUUCCGUGUGUAGCAGUGAAAUGCGUAGAUAUACGGAGGAACACCUGAGGCGAAGGCGGCUUACUGGACCGAUUCUGACACUGAGACUCGAAAGCGUGGGUAGCAAACAGGAUUAGAUACCCCAGUAGUCC